GGUUCAUUUUGGACCAUUUUUGGGGUCAUUUUUGGGGUCAUUUUUGGGACAUUUUUGGGGUCAUUUUGGGUCAUUUUGGGGCCCAUUUUUUGGGGCCAUUUUUUUCGGUUCAUUUUGGACCAUUUUUGGGGUCAUUUUGAGUCAUUUUGGGACAUUUUGGGGCCCAUUUUUUGGGGCCAUUUUUUGGGGGUCAUUUUUGGGGCCAUUUUUGGGGCCAUUUUUGGGGCCAUUUUUGCCAUUUUUGGGCCAUUUUUGGGGUCAUUUUUGGGGCCAUUUUUGGGGUCAUUUGGGGUCAUUUUGGGACAUUUUUUGGCCCAUUUUUUUGGCCCAUUUUUUGGGGCCAUUUUGGACCCUUUUUAGGGUUAUUUUGAGGCAUUUUGGGGCCAUUUUUGUGGCCACUUUUGGGGUCUUUUGGGGCCAUUUUUUGGGGUUCAUUUGGGGGCAUUUUUUUGUGGCCAC
rnacentral:lncRNA from 1 species